rnacentral:sRNA from 1 species
CCAGGAUGGGAAGCUCAUCAUCUGGGACAGCUACACCACCAACAAGGUUCACGCCAUCCCGCUGCGCUCCUCUUGGGUCAUGACCUGUGCCUACGCGCCCUCAGGGAACUUUGUGGCCUGUGGGGGGUUGGACAACAUCUGCUCCAUCUACAGCCUCAAGACCCGCGAGGGCAACGUCAGGGUCAGCCGGGAGCUGCCUGGCCACACUGGUGAGGGGCCUGGCCCAGUUCGGGCCCUUUUUGGGAUCGGGGGGUGCACUGCCCUCCGUGUGAAGACCUGGCUGACCAGCUCCUUCCCCAGGGUACCUGUCGUGUUGCCGCUUCCUGGAUGACAACCAAAUCAUCACCAGCUCUGGGGAUACCACCUGUGCCCUGUGGGACAUUGAGACAGGCCAGCAGACAGUGGGUUUUGCUGGACACAGUGGGGAUGUGAUGUCCCUGUCCCUGGCCCCCGAUGGCCGCACGUUUGUGUCAGGCGCCUGUGAUGCCUCUAUCAAGCUGUGGGAUGUGCGGGAUUCCAUGUGCCGACAGACCUUCAUCGGCCACGAAUCUGACAUCAAUGCAGUGGCUUUCUUCCCCAACGGCUACGCCUUCACCACCGGCUCUGACGACGCCACGUGCCGCCUCUUCGACCUGCGGGCCGAUCAGGAGCUCCUCAUGUACUCGCAUGACAACAUCAUCUGUGGCAUCACCUCUGUUGCCUUCUCGCGCAGCGGCCGGCUGCUGCUCGCUGGCUAUGACGACUUCAACUGCAACAUCUGGGAUGCCAUGAAGGGCGACCGUGCAGGGGUCCUCGCUGGCCACGACAACCGCGUGAGCUGCCUCGGGGUCACCGACGAUGGCAUGGCUGUGGCCACGGGCUCCUGGGACUCCUUCCUCAAGAUCUGGAACUAACGGCCCCAC